GGAUGUGAGGGCGAUCUGGCUGCGACAUCUGUCACCCCAUUGAUCGCCAGGGUUGAUUCGGCUGAUCUGGCUGGCUAGGCGGGUGUCCCCUUCCUCCCUCACCGCUCCAUGUGCGUCCCUCCCGAAGCUGCACGCUCGGUCGAAGAGGACGGCCUUCCCCGAAUAGAGACGGACCGGUCUUCGGUAGAGGGUAUACGAGUAGCUGCGCUCCCCUGCUAGAACCUCCAAACAAGCUCUCAAAUUAAAAACCAUUAACAACAAUAUUGGCCACUUAUAUAGGCCAAUGCCUUACAAAUGAUCACUAAUUUUCUCUAAAGUCAAUGACUUUCUUUUGGGAGAAUACAU
rnacentral:snRNA from 1 species